rnacentral:rRNA from 1 species
GACAGAGGGUGCAAACGUUGUUCGGAAUUACUGGGCGUAAAGCGUGCGCAGGCGGUUCGUUAAGUCAGAUGUGAAAGCCCCGGGCUCAACCUGGGAACUGCAUUUGAAACUGGCGGGCUUGAGUGUGGCAGAGGGGGGUGGAAUUCCGCGUGUAGCAGUGAAAUGCGUAGAGAUGCGGAGGAACACCGAUGGCGAAGGCAGCCCCCUGGGCUGACACUGACGCUCAGGCACGAAAGCGUGGGGAGCAAACAGG